AGGCCCGUGGUUUAAUGGUAGAAUGGCACACUUACACUGUGUUGAAAGGAGUUCGAUUCUCCUCGGGCCUA
rnacentral:tRNA from 1 species